rnacentral:rRNA from 1 species
GAUGAACGCUAGCGGCAGGCCUAACACAUGCAAGUCGAGGGGCAGCAUUCCCGGUUUUCCGGGAGAUGGCGACCGGCGCACGGGUGCGUAACGCGUAUGCAAUUUGCCCCAUACCGGGGGAUAGCCUCUGGAAACGGAGAAUAAUACCCCAUGGCAUCCCUGGUCCGCAUGGACCGGGGAUUAAAGACACGUUGGUAUGGGAUAGGCAUGCGUCCCAUUAGCUUGAUGGUAGGGUAACGGCCUACCAUGGCUACGAUGGGUAGGGGCCCUGAGAGGGGGAUCCCCCACACUGGUACUGAGACACGGACCAGACUCCUACGGGAGGCAGCAGUGAGGAAUAUUGGACAAUGGGCGGAAGCCUGAUCCAGCCAUGCCGCGUGCGGGAAGACGGCCCUAUGGGUUGUAAACCGCUUUUAUACGGGAAGAAUAAGUGCGACGCGUCGCACGGUGACGGUACCGUAAGAAUAAGGACCGGCUAACUCCGUGCCAGCAGCCGCGGUAAUACGGAGGGUCCGAGCGUUAUCCGGAAUCAUUGGGUUUAAAGGGUCCGCAGGCGGGCCGUUAAGUCAGGGGUGAAAUUCCGCGGCUCAACCGCGGGACUGCCUUUGAUACUGGCGGUCUUGAGUCGUACCGGGGCGGCCGGAAUAUGUGGUGUAGCGGUGAAAUGCGUAGAUAUCACAUGGAACACCGAUCGCGAAGGCAGGUCGCCAGGUACGUACUGACGCUGAUGGACGAAAGCGUGGGGAGCGAACGGGAUUAGAUACCCCGGUAGUCCACGCCGUAAACGAUGGACACUAGCUGUCGGGGCGCAAGCCUCGGCGGCCAAGCGAAAGUGAUAAGUGUCCCACCUGGGGAGUACGUUCGCAAGAAUGAAACUCAAAGGAAUUGACGGGGGCCCGCACAAGCGGUGGAGCAUGUGGUUUAAUUCGAUGAUACGCGAGGAACCUUACCGGGGCUUAAAUGCAGGGUGACAGGGUUGGAGACAGCCUUUUCUUCGGACACCCUGCAAGGUGCUGCAUGGUUGUCGUCAGCUCGUGCCGUGAGGUGUCAGGUUAAGUCCUAUAACGAGCGCAACCCCUGCCGUCAGUUGCCAGCAUGUAAAGAUGGGGACUCUGACGGGACUGCCGGUGCAAACCGCGAGGAAGGUGGGGACGACGUCAAAUCAUCACGGCCCUUACGUCCCGGGCCACACACGUGCUACAAUGGCCGGUACAGCGGGAAGCCACCACGCGAGUGGGAGCGGAUCCACAAAACCGGUCACAGUUCGGAUCGGAGUCUGCAACCCGACUCCGUGAAAGCUGGAAUCGCUAGUAAUCGGAUAUCAGCCAUGAUCCGGUGAAAUACGUUCCCGGGCCU